CCAGCCUCCCGCCGCGAUGAUCCGCACCCACCUCGGGCCCCCGGCCUUACCAAGCCGGGUCUCGGCGCUCGAGACUCCCUCCGCCUGCUGAACGCACGCAGGACUUAAACCUGUCUCUCCAGCCCCCCGCCCGCGGUUUUGCUCUGUACCUCUGCUGACCGCGCGCUCCCGCCUCUUCGCUGCCUUGGCGACAGUCCCCGCCCCCCCGACAGCCUCUGAUUGGUCCGACUAGGAUGGCGGAAGUUGCGGAUUGGCGGGGUCGGAGACGAGGCCGCGCCCGGGGGCUGAGAGGCGGGCAGCGUGGACCAGGAACGCGAAGGAGCCUGGGGGAGCCUAAGCCAAGAGGGACGUGGCGCUCUGCGACGCGGGCGGGCAAGCCGCGCCCCUUCCUUCUUCAGCUCUCAUGGAGAAACCUGCGAAGCAGGAUUUGGGCGGGAUCCCACAGAACACCAACUGGCCAAAUUCUUCAUUGUCUUCAGAAGAGGGGAGAGGAAGGCAGGAGUAUUUACUGACAAGAGACACUUUGGCUUUUCAUCUUCAAGUUUAUUGAAGGUUGAAAGAUGGCUAUCAUACUUCCUGCAUUAUGAACUUGACCACAUGCAAAAAUAAGAAAAACACAGGAGUUGGAUGAAGACAGCAAAAGAACCUUUUAUGUGAGAAGUUCCCUCCCCUUUUCUCAGGAAAAGAAAAGCUUUCACUGAAGCCCCCUUAGCAAACAACCCUUAAGUUCCAUUGAGCAGAAAUAGGUUCUAUGGCCAUUCUCUUAGCUAUAAGAUAUGAUGGGAAAGUUAGUGUCCAGCAAAGGGGAAUGCAGUAGUCAUGACUGGCUGAGACCAGUCACUAUUAACUCCCUGGGUCUGGGCCAGUGGUGCCAAAUUUUGGGUUCUAUUAGCAAGAGAAGAGGGUCUAAGCUGUUAGUUAGGCAACAGUGUAGCAUAUGCCACGUUUUCCUACUAUCAGAUCCACAAACCUACAUGAUUCUGUAACUAUUUCCUCUUUCUUCUGUAACAAUAAAAGUCAGUCCCUUUACCUGAAUCCAUUCCCCUCAGUUCUCAAGGACUUCAUUUUUCUCACUUGGCCAUCCCGUCUUCCCUGUGUCAUUAAUCUCCGCUAGCUAUUGAACCACACUCUGGGCAUACAAACAUGCUCUAGGAGCGUUUUCCAUCUUUAAAAAUCCCUUCCUUAUUGAUAGAUAAAAAGAUGUGAUAAAACCAAUAGAGUAACGUUUUUAUUAUAGAAUUUAGUGAUAUUUACCAUGAAAUUUGUAAUAUUUGUAUAUUUAAAACUUUCAUAAUGAAAUAUGAGAAAUAAAAUCCUUACCUUGAUUCCAC
rnacentral:lncRNA from 1 species